CCUACGGGUGGCUGCAGUGAGGAAUAUUGGUCAAUGGGCGCGAGCCUGAACCAGCCAAGUCGCGUGAAGGAUGACUGCCCUACGGGUUGUAAACUUCUUUUAUAAAGGAAUAAAGUGAGGCACGUGUGCCUUUUUGUAUGUACCUUACUAAUAAGGAUCGGCUAACUCCGUGCCAGCAGCCGCGGUAAUACGGAGGAUCCGAGCGUUAUCCGGAUUUAUUGGGUUUAAAGGGAGCGUAGAUGGGUUGUUAAGUCAGUUGUGAAAGUUUGCGGCUCAACCGUAAAAUUGCAAUUGAUACUGGCAGCCUUGAGUACAGUAGAGGUAAGCGGAAUUCGUGGUGUAGCGGUGAAAUGCUUAGAUAUCACGAAGAACUCCGAUUGCGAAGGCAGCUUACUAAACUGCCACUGACAUUGAUGCUCGAAAGUGUGGGUAUCAAACAGGAUUAGAUACCCUUGUAGUC
rnacentral:rRNA from 1 species